GUGCAGCAGGCGCGAAAACUUUACAAUGCGGGAAACCGCGAUAAGGGGACACCGAGUGCCAGCAUACUAUGUUGGCUGUCCACAUGUGUAAAUAGCAUGUGUUAGCAAGGGCCGGGCAAGACCGGUGUCAGCCGCCGCGGUAACACCGGCGGCCCGAGUGGUAAUCACUAUUAUUGGGUCUAAAAGGGUCCGCAGCCGGUUUGAUUAGUCUUCCGGGAAAUCCUGAGUAGCUCAACUAUUAGGCUUCCGGGUGAUACUGUCCGACUUGGGACCGGGAGAGGUAAGAGGUACUAC
rnacentral:rRNA from 1 species